CUCGUUUUGGCCAAUGGGAGAGUAGCAAGUGUGACACUGCCUGAGGUUUGAAACGGACUUGUGUCCGGGGCUUGUUUACUUGCUGUUCCUGGGGUCCCUGCUGACGCCUCCAUGUGAAGAAGCCCAGAUCAGCCUGCUGGAUGUUGACAUACAUGGCCCGGUUGCCCCAGUCACCCCAGCUGAUAACCAGCCAUCCCUAGAAGCAGAGCCACCUUGCUGAGCAGCUGCUGAUCACAGAUGCAUGACUGAGCCUUGCCACGACCAGCAGAAGAGCUGCCCGACUGAGCCUAGCUCAGAGCAUUGACCCACAGAAUCAUAAGCAGUAAAGCUGCAGCACUGAAGGAGGCAACAUACAAAUUUCUUUAUGGGUUCCACGUUCUAGUGAAGGCGGA
rnacentral:lncRNA from 1 species